rnacentral:lncRNA from 12 species
AAGGGUUCUAUUUUGGAUGUGGCAACUGAUAAGCCUGUUAAGGCCCCGCUUCCUUGGGGAGCAGCUGUGGAAAGGGGUCGUCCCAUUUGCUGGCUAGCAGUUGGGGACCACAUGAGUGAGGCGCGCUGCAGAGUCCGUGAUCCAGCAUCUGAUGAGCAUCCGGAGAGAGCAGACCUUGCCGGUCUCACCGUUCCGAGGCGGUAGAAGCAGUUAUGCAAGUCGCGUUGUGGGGCGCCCUCCUCCCUCAGAUCACCUGGACAGCUGUCUGCUUACAUGAAAAUGAUGACCACAGAUCCAAGAGCCAGCGCUUCUCCUGCACGGCCAGCAGUUCCCGUCUCCAGCUAGUUGGGCACUAUCUUCCCAGAACCGUGACGUAACUACCUUUCCUUCAUGCAACACCUUGGUUAUGAUUUUGAUAAAUGUUUUCCUGGAAUCAACUUUGAUGUGACACCUUCCUCUUGAUGUUUUAAUUCAAUGUACCCCAGAA